rnacentral:ncRNA from 1 species
UAUAAAUCGUUGAGAAAGAGUAGUAGUUAUAUGGUUAAGUACCUUUGAGCGAGUCGGAAUAGUGAGAGCCGAUAGGUACACCUAUAAUGAAUGGACUUUCGAGAGAUUUGCUGAAAUUAAAGUAAGCAAAUUCGGGAUCUCCCGUUACAGAGAUAGGAUAUGUUAGUAUCCAAAGAGUGAGGAGUUACAAGAUAAAAGCCAUAGUGUUUUUCUUUGCUUCUAAUUGAGGUGGCACCGCGAUAAAACGUCCUCUUA